rnacentral:tRNA from 1 species
GCCUUCUUGGUGCAACUGGAAAGCACAUCCGGCUAACAAUCGGAAGGUCCUUAGCUCGAAUCCUGGCCAAGGCA